rnacentral:rRNA from 1 species
UACGUAGGGUGCGAGCGUUGUCCGGAAUCACUGGGCGUAAAGGGCGCGUAGGCGGUUCGUUAAGUUGCUGGUGAAAUCCCGGGGCUCAACUCCGGGGCUGCCAGUAAGACUGGCGGGCUAGAGCACGGUAGAGGCGGAUGGAAUUCCCGGUGUAGCGGUGGAAUGCGUAGAUAUCGGGAAGAAUACCGGUGGCGAAGGCGUUCCGCUGGGCCGUUGCUGACGCUGAGGCGCGACAGCGUGGGGAGCAAACAGG